ensembl:lncRNA novel transcript
UGGCAGCAGAGUUGGAAUGGGAUAGGUAGUUCCCCGUUUCCAGGACCCCAGACGGCCUGCUGGGACAGUGUAUAUGAGUCCGGAAUGGGCUGGACCAGGGUCAGGCUAGCCCAGACUUCAGGUACGGGCUGUGAUGACGAGGAGUGGGCUAGUCUCCCGGGUCGGUCACCGCUGAACUCUCAGACAAUCAAGCUUUCGAUGAUCAUGUGAUGAGGUUUCCAGUCAGUUCCAGGUGAAGACACCACUGGCCAUCAAGAAGCUACCCUCUCCCCACCAGACAGAGCAGGAUGAGAGUUCUAUAAUCCUCAAUAGGAGGAAGCACUCAAUUGAACAAGUGCAGGAACCAGCUGGCUGCCUCAGCACUGACAGAAGCAAAUUCCAUUUGCUUGGACCCACUGCAUUCCAUCCCUUGUGGAAGAGAGCAUGUAAGCAAGUGAGUGCAGGAACUGGCUGGCUGCUUUGGUGCUGGCAGGAGCAAACACCAUGAAGGCCCCAUGGCAGAGUCCAGGACAGGACCUUCAGGCCUCUGAAAAAAAAAGGAUCAAAGAACUGAAACUCACCAGAUCACCUCACCAGAUGCUGGACCCCUCAUUCACCAUGUUUGCUUCCUUGCCUCUCCCUAGUUCUUAUUUUCUUACACAUUGUUACAUUUCUUCCCUGCUAUAUCAACCCCUAGUUCUAGUCAGUCAUGGAGAUGGAUUUGAGACUGAUCUCCCAUCCCCUCAGCUACACCACCUGAUUAAAGCCUUCUUCCUUGGCAAUAA